UACGUAGGGGGCAAGCGUUGUCCGGAUUUAUUGGGCGUAAAGAGCGUGUAGGCGGCCAGGCAGGUCCGUUGUGAAAACUGAAGGCUCAACCUUCAGAGGUCGAUGGAAACCGCCUGGCUAGAGUCCGGAAGAGGAGAGUGGAAUUCCUGGUGUAGCGGUGAAAUGCGCAGAUAUCAGGAAGAACACCCGUGGCGAAGGCGGCUCUCUGGGACGGUACUGACGCUGAGACGCGAAAGCGUGGGGAGCGAACAGG
rnacentral:rRNA from 1 species